AUCCUCUGAUCGCUUAAUUCUUAUAGAAGCGGGGGAACCAGGUUUUUGGGGUGAAUCGGGAUCGGCCUCUUAAAUGGUUUAAGAAUGAUUAUUAGGAACUUAAAAUCUCCUAAUAAUUAUUCAUUAAAGCCGGGCUUAUUCCGUAGGGUUACUUUUUCAAUCCGAAUCCGUCAGCUAACUUCGCAAGCGUGGAAAAGGAGGAGAA
rnacentral:sRNA from 1 species